UACGUAGGCAGCGAGCGUUGUUCGGAGUUACUGGGCGUAAAGCGUGCGUAGGCGGUAGUCCAAGUCUGGUGUGAAAUCUCCCGGCUUAACUGGGAGGGUGCGCCGGAAACUGGGCUGCUGGAGUGCGGGAGAGGUAAGCGGAAUUCCCGGUGUAGCGGUGGAAUGCGCAGAUAUCAGGAGGAACACCAAUAGCGAAGGCAGCUCGCUGGGACGGUACUGACGCUAAGGCGCGAAAGCGUGGGGAGCGAACAGG
rnacentral:rRNA from 1 species